AACCUCACCAUUAUUUGGUCUAUCAAGUCUUUUUCAUCUUGUUUAAUGGUAGUCAAAUCUUCAGAAACCUGGCUUUUUAUAUCUAAACUAAUAUAAAAAUGAUAAUGGGAGGAAUCAGAGCUUCAAAAGUGAGCUGAUUCCAGCCACCAGCUGUCAUCAUAUGAGGAGCUCUUGUGAGUUGAUCGCCCAUGAAAGAGGAAUGAGCCUCUAAACAUGGCCACAGCUCAGUGAUACUGACCAACCAGACAUACCUUUGCUGGACCUAUGCAAACAUGAAACAGGUAAAGAGAAGUGAGUAUGUGGCAUUCAUCAGAGAAAUAAGACCAAUGCGAAUUUUGUAAGCAGUAUACAGGCCUGUCGAACAUGAUUACUUGGAAAAUUACUAACUAAACCUUUUUUUAGCCUUUUCACAUUCAGUUAAGAUUUCAUGAAGAGUUGUAAGAGAAAAGCUUUUCCAGACCCAGCCAUGAGUACUCUGCUUUACUCAGAAGAACCACAAACUUUGAACAGCUUGAUAAUCCAGCAUUUCUGAAACUUUUCUUUGCAUGUGUGUCACUGAGGUAUCUUAUUAAAGCACAUAUUCUAA
rnacentral:lncRNA from 1 species